GGGUUGUGAGGUUAAGCGACUAAGCGUACACGGUGGAUGCCCUGGCAGUCAGAGGCGAUGAAGGACGUGCUAAUCUGCGAUAAGCGUCGGUAAGGUGAUAUGAACCGUUAUAACCGGCGAUUUCCGAAUGGGGAAACCCAGUGUGAUUCGUCACACUAUCAUUAACUGAAUCCAUAGGUUAAUGAGGCGAACCGGGGGAACUGAAACAUCUAAGUACCCCGAGGAAAAGAAAUCAACCGAGAUUCCCCCAGUAGCGGCGAGCGAACGGGGAGCAGCCCAGAGCCUGAAUCAGUGUGUGUGUUAGUGGAAGCGUCUGGAAAGGCGCGCGAUACAGGGUGACAGCCCCGUACACAAAAAUGCACAUGCUGUGAGCUCGAUGAGUAGGGCGGGACACGUGGUAUCCUGUCUGAAUAUGGGGGGACCAUCCUCCAAGGCUAAAUACUCCUGACUGACCGAUAGUGAACCAGUACCGUGAGGGAAAGGCGAAAAGAACCCCGGCGAGGGGAGUGAAAAAGAACCUGAAACCGUGUACGUACAAGCAGUGGGAGCCUCUUUUAUGGGGUGACUGCGUACCUUUUGUAUAAUGGGUCAGCGACUUAUAUUCUGUAGCAAGGUUAACCGAAUAGGGGAGCCGAAGGGAAACCGAGUCUUAACUGGGCGUUAAGUUGCAGGGUAUAGACCCGAAACCCGGUGAUCUAGCCAUGGGCAGGUUGAAGGUUGGGUAACACUAACUGGAGGACCGAACCGACUAAUGUUGAAAAAUUAGCGGAUGACUUGUGGCUGGGGGUGAAAGGCCAAUCAAACCGGGAGAUAGCUGGUUCUCCCCGAAAGCUAUUUAGGUAGCGCCUCGUGAACUCAUCUCCGGGGGUAGAGCACUGUUUCGGCAAGGGGGUCAUCCCGACUUACCAACCCGAUGCAAACUGCGAAUACCGGAGAAUGUUAUCACGGGAGACACACGGCGGGUGCUAACGUCCGUCGUGAAGAGGGAAACAACCCAGACCGCCAGCUAAGGUCCCAAAGUCAUGGUUAAGUGGGAAACGAUGUGGGAAGGCCCAGACAGCCAGGAUGUUGGCUUAGAAGCAGCCAUCAUUUAAAGAAAGCGUAAUAGCUCACUGGUCGAGUCGGCCUGCGCGGAAGAUGUAACGGGGCUAAACCAUGCACCGAAGCUGCGGCAGCGACACUAUGUGUUGUUGGGUAGGGGAGCGUUCUGUAAGCCUGUGAAGGUGUGCUGUGAGGUAUGCUGGAGGUAUCAGAAGUGCGAAUGCUGACAUAAGUAACGAUAAAGCGGGUGAAAAGCCCGCUCGCCGGAAGACCAAGGGUUCCUGUCCAACGUUAAUCGGGGCAGGGUGAGUCGACCCCUAAGGCGAGGCCGAAAGGCGUAGUCGAUGGGAAACAGGUUAAUAUUCCUGUACUUGGUGUUACUGCGAAGGGGGGACGGAGAAGGCUAUGUUGGCCGGGCGACGGUUGUCCCGGUUUAAGCGUGUAGGCUGGUUUUCCAGGCAAAUCCGGAAAAUCAAGGCUGAGGCGUGAUGACGAGGCACUACGGUGCUGAAGCAACAAAUGCCCUGCUUCCAGGAAAAGCCUCUAAGCAUCAGGUAACAUCAAAUCGUACCCCAAACCGACACAGGUGGUCAGGUAGAGAAUACCAAGGCGCUUGAGAGAACUCGGGUGAAGGAACUAGGCAAAAUGGUGCCGUAACUUCGGGAGAAGGCACGCUGAUAUGUAGGUGAAGUCCCUUGCGGAUGGAGCUGAAAUCAGUCGAAGAUACCAGCUGGCUGCAACUGUUUAUUAAAAACACAGCACUGUGCAAACACGAAAGUGGACGUAUACGGUGUGACGCCUGCCCGGUGCCGGAAGGUUAAUUGAUGGGGUCAGCGCAAGCGAAGCUCUUGAUCGAAGCCCCGGUAAACGGCGGCCGUAACUAUAACGGUCCUAAGGUAGCGAAAUUCCUUGUCGGGUAAGUUCCGACCUGCACGAAUGGCGUAAUGAUGGCCAGGCUGUCUCCACCCGAGACUCAGUGAAAUUGAAGUCGCUGUGAAGAUGCAGUGUACCCGCGGCAAGACGGAAAGACCCCGUGAACCUUUACUAUAGCUUGACACUGAACAUUGAGCCUUGAUGUGUAGGAUAGGUGGGAGGCUUAGAAGUGUGGACGCCAGUCUGCAUGGAGCCGACCUUGAAAUACCACCCUUUAAUGUUUGAUGUUCUAACGUUGACCCGUAAUCCGGGUUGCGGACAGUGUCUGGUGGGUAGUUUGACUGGGGCGGUCUCCUCCUAAAGAGUAACGGAGGAGCACGAAGGUUGGCUAAUCCUGGUCGGACAUCAGGAGGUUAGUGCAAUGGCAUAAGCCAGCUUGACUGCGAGCGUGACGGCGCGAGCAGGUGCGAAAGCAGGUCAUAGUGAUCCGGUGGUUCUGAAUGGAAGGGCCAUCGCUCAACGGAUAAAAGGUACUCCGGGGAUAACAGGCUGAUACCGCCCAAGAGUUCAUAUCGACGGCGGUGUUUGGCACCUCGAUGUCGGCUCAUCACAUCCUGGGGCUGAAGUAGGUCCCAAGGGUAUGGCUGUUCGCCAUUUAAAGUGGUACGCGAGCUGGGUUUAGAACGUCGUGAGACAGUUCGGUCCCUAUCUGCCGUGGGCGCUGGAGAACUGAGGGGGGCUGCUCCUAGUACGAGAGGACCGGAGUGGACGCAUCACUGGUGUUCGGGUUGUCAUGCCAAUGGCACUGCCCGGUAGCUAAAUGCGGAAGAGAUAAGUGCUGAAAGCAUCUAAGCACGAAACUUGCCCCGAGAUGAGUUCUCCCUGACCCUUUAAGGGUCCUGAAGGAACGUUGAAGACGACGACGUUGAUAGGCCGGGUGUGUAAGCGCAGCGAUGCGUUGAGCUAAUCGGUACUAAUGAACCGUGAGGCUUAACCUUACAACGCCGAAGCUGUU
rnacentral:rRNA from 1 species